GAUGAAGAACGUAGCGAAAUGCGAUAAGUAGUGUGAAUUGCAGAAUUCAGUGAAUCAUCGAAUCUUUGAACGCACAUUGCGCCCUUUGGUAUUCCUUAGGGCAUGCCUGUUCGAGCGUCAUUUAAACCUUCAAGCUAAGCUUGGUGUUGGGUGACUGUCCGCUUCACUGCGGACUCGCCUCAAAAUUAUUGGCGGCCGGUACAUUGGCUUCGAGCGCAGCAGAAACGCGAACUCGGGCCCGUCGUAUUGGCUCCCAGAAGCUAUCUUCACAAUUUUGACCUCGGAUCAGGUAGGGAUACCCGCUGAACUUAAGCAUAUCAAUAAGCGAGGA
rnacentral:misc_RNA from 1 species